UCUUCAAUAUACAGAUUACGCAUCUUUCACUUCCAUUAAGCUCUUGGUGACUCUUUGUUUGUUCUUUCCACAGCUUCUGUUCCUGCUUUCCUUACAGCAACCACCAUUGAGUCUCUGGGUGUCAGCUGCACGUUCACCAGCAGGUGUGAAUUUGCAGGAGUUGAGGAAAAACAAAAUACUCUCUUCUGGAGUGCAGGCUAACCUGCAGAAGCACUGAUAAAACCAAGCCUUAGGUGAGACUUUGCUGGAUUCAGGGCUUUGUCGGAUUGAACUGUGAUCCUUCUUAUUUGCUGGAGCUUUGUGGCUUCCUGUUUCUGCAAGAGUUAAGAACUGUGUGUUAAUAUAAUCAGGUUCUAACUUAAUAACCCUCUAGGCUGCACAAGCUGCAAGCUGAUACC
rnacentral:lncRNA from 1 species